rnacentral:misc_RNA from 1 species
GAUGAAGAACGUAGCGAAAUGCGAUAAGUAAUGUGAAUUGCAGAAUUCAGUGAAACAUCGAAUCUUUGAACGCACAUUGCGCCCGCCAGUAUUCUGGCGGGCAUGCCUGUUCGAGCGUCAUUUCAACCAUCAAGCCCCCGGCUUGUGUUGGGGACCUGCGGCUGCCGCAGGCCCUGAAAAGCAGUGGCGGGCUCGCUGUCACACCGAGCGUAGUAGCAUACAUCUCGCUCUGGGCGUGCUGCGGGUUCCGGCCGUUAAACCACCUUCAUAACCCAAGGUUGACCUCGGAUCAGGUAGGAAGACCCGCUGAACUUAAGCAUAUCAAUAAGCGGAGGA